rnacentral:rRNA from 1 species
CCUACGGGUGGCUGCAGUCGAGGAUCUUCGGCAAUGGGCGCAAGCCUGACCGAGCGACGCCGCGUGUGCGACGAAGGCCUUCGGGUUGUAAAGCACUGUCGAGGGGGAGAUGUCAUCCCUGGAGGAAGCACGGGCUAAGUUCGUGCCAGCAGCCGCGGUAAGACGAACCGUGCGAACGUUGUUCGGAAUAACUGGGCUUAAAGGGCGCGUAGGCGGGCUGCCAAGUUCGGGGUGAAAUCCUCCCGCUCAACGGGAGAACUGCCCCGAAUACUGGCGGUCUCGAGGGAGGUAGGGGCGUGCGGAACUAUGGGUGGAGCGGUGAAAUGCGUUGAUAUCCAUAGGAACUCCGGUGGCGAAGGCGGCACGCUGGCCCUUCUGACGCUGAGGCGCGAAAGCCAGGGGAGCAAACGGGAUUAGAUACCCUGGUAGUC